UGGAAGUCAGAUCUGGGCUAGAAUCUUAGCUUGAGAUUAGCAGUUGGAAUACCAGACCUCCACAUCCUCAUCCAUGGUCUGGAGAUAGUAAUGCCUACUACCUCUUAAGAUGAAGAUGAAGUAACAGAGUAUUGCUCAGUGAAAGUUGCCCCAUGCUUUGUAGUUCAGUCUUGAAACUGGAUGACAAUUUCAUCUGUGAGAAUAAAGUAAAAUCAAAUGUUGUAGGGGGAACAGCAUGCUCUAUGGGGCUGGCUUACAUGAGUGUAUUGGUUUUAGUUUUCAAAGCAUAUUUACAACUAUUCUCUCAUUUGAUCCUCAUAUGAACCUGGAAUACCCCCAAAAUGCAGAGCCCAAGAGAAAAGCUUGUACAGACUUUUUAUGUUAGGAAGUGAUCUGAAAGAACAAGGGGCAGACUGCUAAGAAUGAAACAGGGAUUGAGGGAAAACCCAUGAACUGUGUGCUCUUGGCCUGAGGGUAAUGGGCUUAAUUCCUAUAGGGGCUUUCUGAGGAGCACUGUGGAAUGGACACAGGUUUUCCUCAGACAUGAGAAAAGCCUGUAUUCUGCGACAAGAGAAGCCACUGCAAUGCACUGCAAUGAAGAGUAGCCCCCGAUCACCACACCUAGAGAGAGCCUGCAUGCACAGCAAGGAAGACCUAGCACAACCAGUAAUGAAUAAGAAGGCAGUAUCCAGAAAGACAUAGGCAGAAUUUUUUAAACAGUUGUUUAACAUUGAGAAUUACUCAACAGUGUGUUCUUAUCAUGAUAAACUGCCCCAAAUCACACUCAGAAGCUGUCACCUUAUGUGAGCAUUCAGUGCUGCCACAUGUCUGACUGAUGCCACUAGCCCUGGGCACUGGGCAUAGACGCCCGCACUGGGUAAGCUGCCUCUGUUAGCCCAAGAACUCAAGUUUGUUACAAGUACAGCCACUGGCAAGAGUUCCUCAAGACCACCGUAUUUUCCCAUCACUUGCUUCUGAAUCCAGGGCAUGGGAGUGGCUGAGCUUAGGUGAUGUGGGUGAGUUCUGGCUGCCAGGGAGACUGAAAAAGCCAACAUGCAGCAUGUUCAGCUCUAAAGCACUUCUAAAACAG
ensembl:lncRNA